UUACUGUUGAUUGUGACGAAAUGCCAGCUGAGGCACAUGCCUUGGGAGCUAAGUGGUUGCUGCACUUGACCACUGUGAAGACUGGUGUGGGAAGGGUCGUUUCGGAUGCACUUGAGCAGGGGUCCCCAACCCCUGAGCCAUGGAGCCGCAAGGAGCCACACAGCAGGAGGUGGGACCAUCCAGUUGCAGGAAAACAAGCUUAACACGCCCACUGAUUCUACAUUAUGCUCCUACCUCCUGGCAGCCUCUCCAGGCCCAGAACUUUCUCCAGUCAGCCUCUACAGACCAAGCUCAUGACUCACAAUGGCCUAUUUAGGCCCAUACCCUACGUCACGGCAGUCUCCGCAGAUGAGGCUACUGCCUCACAACAGCCUCCACAGGCACAGCUCCAUCGUUACAAUGGCCUCUUUAGACCCAGCUCCUGCCUCCCAGCCUUCUCUCCAGGCCCUGAACUUUCUCAAGUCGACCUCACCAGGCCCAGCUCAUGCUUCUUUGCAGCCUCUCCAGGCCCAGCUCCUGCAUCUUGGUGGCCCCUCCAGGCCCAGCCUCUGCCUCCCGUCGGCCUCUACAGUCCCAACAUCUGUCUCACAGCAGAUUCUUCAGGCCCAGCAUCUGCCUCACUGUGGACCCCCCAAGCCAAGCUCCCAACCUUUCAGCAGCUUCUACACACCCAGCUCCUGCCACCCAGUGGCUUCUUUAGGCCAAGCUCAUGCUUCACAAGGGCCUUUCCAGGCCCAACUUUUGUCUCAUGGCAACCUUCCCUGGCCAGAUUCCUGCCUGUCUCCCAGCAGCCUAGACAGGCCCAGGUCUUGCCUCACACUGGCCUCUCUACAUCCAGCUUAUGCCUCACGGUGGCCUCUCCAGGCCCAACUCCUGUCCCAGGACGUCAUCUCCGGGCCCAAAACUUACUCAAGUCAGACUCUCUAGUCCCAACUGCUGCCUCCUGGUGGCCUAUGAAGGCCCAAAAUCUCCUCAAGUUGGCCUCUCCAGGCCCAGCUCCUGCCUCCUGUCAGCGUCUAGAGGCCCAACCUCUGCCUCAUGGGGGCUUCUCCAGGCCCACCUCUUCCUCUUGGCUGGGUCUACAGGCACAACUGCUGCCUCACAACAGCCUUUUUUGGCCCAGUUCCUGUCCAGCUCAUGGCGGCCAAUGUAGGCCCAAAACUUCCUCAAGUCAAACUCUCCAGGCCCACCUUCUGCUUCCCGGUGGCAUGAACCGGCCCAGCUUUGACUUGAGAACAGCCUCUGCAGGCCCUGCUCUUGCCUCCCAGGGGCUUUUUCCAGGCCCAGCUCUUGCCUCAUGGCAGCUGCCCCAGGCCGAAUUUCUGCCUGCCUGCCAGCAGCCUCAACAGGCACAGCUCCUCCCUCACAGUGGCCCAUUUAGGCCCAACUCAUGACUGUCAGGCCAUUUCCAGGCCUAGUGCCUGCCUCGUGGCUGACUCUUGAAGCCCAAAACUUCCUCAAAUCAGCCUUUUGCCCAACUUCUGUCUACUGUCGGACUCUACAGGCCAGCCUCUGCCUCACAGUGGACCCUCCAGACCCAGAUGGUGUCUCACUGUGGCAUCCUCAGGUGAAGCUCCUGCCUUUCGGCAGCCUCUCCAGGCCCAGCUCCUCCUGCCUCCCAGUGGCCUCUUUCGGCCCAGCCCAGCUCAUGCCUCCCGGCGGCCUUCCCAAGCCCCGCUUUUGACUUUUGGCAGCCUCUUCAGGCGCAGAACUUGAUCUCCAGUCGGCCUUUGCAGGCCCGGCCUCCUGCCUCUCGAAGGCCUGCACGGGCCCGGCCUCGGCCUCACAGCGGACUCUCCACGCCCAGCUAGCUCUCGCCUCACUGCGGCCUCCCCAGUCCACAGCUCCUGCCUUUCGGCCACUUCGGCAGGUCCAGCUCCUGCCUGCCAGUGGCCUCUUUAGGCCCAGCUCAUUCCUCACAACGGCCUUUCCAGGCCCCGUUUUUCCCUUCUGGCAGCCUCUUGGCCUCUAAUUUGUUUAUCUUUUGUGUAUAAAUCCCAAAAUAUGGAAUUUUGGAAUAUUUCCACCAUUAUAUAUUUUGGUAGGUAAUUUAUUUGGAGUGAGUUUCUGCACCAUGCCCGAUUUUUUUAUUUUAUUUUCCUUAUUAUUUGGUGUUAAACAGGUUUAAUGAUGGUCAUGGCAACUUUUUGGCACAGUGAAAAAUAUCGCCCAUGA